CUGGGAUGGGGGCAGGGAUCAGCAUGGCACAGAUCCAGUACCUUCUCUCCCCUACUCCCUUGUUCCCCAG
ensembl:miRNA